CGGCAGGCUUAACACAUGCAAGUCGAGCGGUAACAGGGGGUGCUUGCACCCCGCUGACGAGCGGCGGACGGGUGAGUAAUGCAUAGGAAACUGCCCAGUAGUGGGGGAUAGCCCGGGGAAACCCGGAUUAAUACCGCGUACGCCCUUCGGGGGAAAGCAGGGGAUCUUCGGACCUUGCGCUAUUGGAUGUGCCUAUGUCGGAUUAGCUAGUUGGUGGGGUAAAGGCCUA
rnacentral:rRNA from 11 species